GUGUGCCUAAUACAUGCAAGUCGAACGCGUUGGCCCAAUUGAUUGAUGGUGCUUGCACCUGAUUGAUUUUGGUCGCCAACGAGUGGCGGACGGGUGAGUAACACGUAGGUAACCUGCCCAGAAGCGGGGGACAACAUUUGGAAACAGAUGCUAAUACCGCAUAACAACGUUGUUCGCAUGAACAACGCUUAAAAGAUGGCUUCUCGCUAUCACUUCUGGAUGGACCUGCGGUGCAUUAGCUUGUUGGUGGGGUAACGGCCUACCAAGGCGAUGAUGCAUAGCCGAGUUGAGAGACUGAUCGGCCACAAUGGGACUGAGACACGGCCCAUACUCCUACGGGAGGCAGCAGUAGGGAAUCUUCCACAAUGGGCGCAAGCCUGAUGGAGCAACACCGCGUGAGUGAAGAAGGGUUUCGGCUCGUAAAGCUCUGUUGUUAAAGAAGAACACGUAUGAGAGUAACUGUUCAUACGUUGACGGUAUUUAACCAGAAAGUCACGGCUAACUACGUGCCAGCAGCCGCGGUAAUACGUAGGUGGCAAGCGUUAUCCGGAUUUAUUGGGCGUAAAGAGAGUGCAGGCGGUUUUCUAAGUCUGAUGUGA
rnacentral:rRNA from 2 species